GUUGCAGAAAAUAGUUUUAUUGUAAUAAUGUUAACAAAGAAUAAAAGUCCAUCGGGUGGGACAUCUUCUACCACACAAGCUGCGCCAGUAUCAAAGGCACCACAGAGCACUGCCCCUGCGCAUGCUGCCACUCCAGUGUCAACUUCUGAAGUUCCUCUACCAACUUCAGCACCGCCUGCUAAUGUUACUGAUUCUUCUCCUCCUGCUCCUGCGCCGGCUCCUGCUCCCGCUCCCGCUGCAGCCCCAGCAACCACUGUUUUGCCAGAAUCGGAUGUCUACAGCCAAGCAGCCUCUAACCUGGUUGCUGGUAGUAACUUGGAGGAGACUAUCCAACAGAUUCUUGACAUGGGCGAAGGCGUUUGGGAUAGGGACACUGUUGUUCGAGCUCUUCGUGCUGCUUACAAUAAUCCGGAAAGGGCUGUUGAUUACCUUUAUUCUGGAAUACCUGAACAAGUUGAAGCCCCACCUGCUCGAGUUCCGUCAACUGUGCAAGCAACCAACCCUUCUGCUCAACCUGCACAGCCAGCCCAACCUGCAUCUGUGCCAUCAACUGGCCCAAAUGCUAAUCCAUUAGAUCUCUUUCCUCAGGGUGUGCCUAACAUAGCUUCUGGAGCUGCUGGUUCCGGCAGUCUUGAUUUUCUACGAAAUAGUCCUCAGUUCCAAGCUUUGCGAGCAAUGGUGCGAGCUAACCCUCAGAUACUCCAGCCCAUGCUUCAAGAGUUGGGUAAACAAAAUCCUCAGCUGAUUAGGCUUAUUCAAGAUCAUCAACCUGACUUCCUCCGCUUGAUUAAUGAGCCCCUUGAAGGAGAAGGGAAUAUACUUGGGCAGCUUGCUGAGGCUAUGCCACAGGCUAUAACUGUAACCCCAGAGGAGCGGGAAGCCAUUCAACGGCUUGAGGAUAUGGGUUUCGACAGAGGUCUAGUUGUGGAGGUUUUCUUCGCGUGCAACAAAAACGAAGAAAUGGCUGCCAACUACCUUUUAGAUCAUAUUCACGAAUUUGAGGGUAAUCAGAAUUAGUCCUUUCUCCUGCCGAUUUUAAUAAACCCCAAAAAACGAACAAAAAAAGAAAAAAAAAGGUUUAUAUGAAAAGGACAGCGAAUCCAACAUCAAAACAAAAAGGAAAGAAUCUGUAUUUAUCCUUCGUGCUUCCCUCGUAAAUCUCUGUCUAUCUCUUUUCUUCGCCUUUGGCCACAUUGUGAAUUGUGUUUGCUGUGAACAUAGAUGUGAAGAUGCGUUUUAUCUUUUUUAUUUUAAUUCGC
rnacentral:misc_RNA from 1 species